AUUGAACGCUGGCGGCAGGCCUAACACAUGCAAGUCGAACGAGUGGCGGACGGGUGAGUAAUGUCUGGGAAACUGCCUGAUGGAGGGGGAUAACUACUGGAAACGGUAGCUAAUACCGCAUACCAUCAGAUGUGCCCAGAUGGGAUUAGCUAGUUGGUGGGGUAACGGCUCACCAAGGCGACGAUCCCUAGCUGGUCUGAGAGGAUGACCAGCCAACUGGGAACGUGGACACGGCCCAAAUUCCACCGGAAGGCAGCAGUGGGGAAUAUGGGACAAUGGGCGCAAGCCUGAGGCAGCAAUGCCGCGUGUAUGAAGAAGGCUUUCGGGUUGUAAAGUACGUUCAUCGGGGAGGCGUUACCCGCAGAAGAAGCACCGGCUAACUCCGUGCCAGCAGCCGCGGUAAUAC
rnacentral:rRNA from 1 species